CUUGAUUCUCCUUCAUCUGGCCCAAUCAAUAGAGGCAGAUGGAGAACCAGAAAAGAGAAGAAAAGGCUUCCUGCCAAAGGCUAAAACUGCCAAAUCCUCAUCCUUGUCUGGAAACACAGGCGGUAAGCACCUUUUCUGUAGAGAAGGACCAGAGAAGAAGAUGGAAAGACCUGGGAGUCCUGCACCUGGUACUGAGGUGAGAAGACAUCGCCAGGAGAAGGAAUAUGGAUAACAUAGAUGCCAAAACCUCCAUGUCAGAGCAGCAAGAUCUAUCUGUGGUAUUUGCAGUCACGUAAUUGCUUUUGCUGUUUUUCUGUAUUUUACAUUACAAAGGAGGUUCAAAAUAUAUCUGAAGUAGAAGUAUGUGCCAAACAUACAGCAGAAAAAUUCACUGAAAGAAAUAGAAAUAGAAAAAAACACGCAAACCACAGCAUGGGGCAAUCUUCCCAAGCAACAGCAGAAUCUAAUCAGGGUUGCCUAAUUUUUUUCCCACUCAAAACAAACGCUUUCAAAUUAGAAGGGUUUAAGACUGUAGGAAGGACAGACUAUUCACACCCCACCUCCUUAUUUUAAUAUUAUCUUUUUUUACACAACUUUGGAAACCUAGCAUGCCGACCUUGGUUAAUUCCUGUGAAUCAUACAAGCCUUAAUUGGUUUUGGAAGGGUCUCCAGAUCUCUCUAGAAAAGGUUAAGCAUUAUUUAUUUGCCUUCGUUACUAUCCAAACCUAUGUGAUUUCUGAACAGGUUUGACAUUCAAACUAAUUAAGGAUAAGCAAAAGAGGAAAAAAGCCUUUAUAUGAGUUCUAAACAAAAAUUUACAAAAGAAAGAAAUGUAAAGCAGUAAUGGCAAAAGCCAUAUAUUAUAUAACACCCCUGCACCAUUCUUCUUUAGUAUAGAAGAGCUGCAGAAUGCCUCUUGCUAGUUCCUGUGUUUAUGAGAUCCAAUCUGAAAGAGGGUAAGAGUUGUGUCGGUUCUUUUCUAGCUUUAAGGCACAUGGUAAC
rnacentral:lncRNA from 1 species